UCUCCGGGGGUCAUCGCGUCGCCAGACGGCAAGAGCCGAUGGCUGGUAGAAGCAGAUACGGAGAGAGGAAGUGUGGGUGUUUGUUUAAGUGCGUUUGAAUGGAGGGGGACGCUUUAUUUCCUCCCCUCUGAGUGAAACUCAACACGGCGGUGCAGGAGAGGAGGCUCAUUCUUUUUGUUCAGCGCACUGAGUCAUGCCAUUGGUGUUUAGACGGCGCAUUUCAUGUUAUUAAUGUGCCUCGGGGACUCGGUUUGAGCUCAUCAUUGAGAUGAAUGUGCAGACGCAUAAUGGAACGGCCAGCCCUAGAACAGGGCAGCUGAACCCUUGGUUGUCCCCAGAGGAGGUUGUGAAACAACCCCAGUACGACCUCAUACGGAUGGCGGUUCUGGGGCAGGGCCUGCCGUACCAUUACACGCCCCAGCGGCCCUGGAGAUGAACAUGAUCUUGGAAAUGGAGCAGACGGAGAAACAGGCCGCGGACCCAGGACAAGGGGCCCUAGGGUUGGGGGUCCCCAGAGCCCAUGGCUCAAUGACUCGGGUCAAUAUUUUUCAAAAUCAUCACUAUUUGUUGUUCAUAGUCCUUAAAACUGAUUUUCAAUGUCAAUCAUACUUGAGUUUUAGUUUUUAACCAGCUUUGUAUACCAGUUUUAACAGAUAACCGCGGGUUAAUAUGAAGCCGGAAACCAUUUCAUCCCUAAUCCACAUGAAAAAACAUGUUAAGCCACGAUGACGCAACUCGCAUCAAGCUGGUCAUGGCAGAGCCCGUGUUUUGCAUUGAAUGCAAAACAAGGGCUCAGCCAUUGACAGCUCUCCAAGAGAUUGAUGGACAUCUUCAUGUGUACCAAGUGCAGCAAUUUGAAGCCCACAUAAAACAAGUAGCCGAGUUAUUUCAUAACGGCAUAUGCGAAAGCACUCUUUCAUGUGAUUUGAACAUAGACCUCCAAGACCAGGAUGGUCUCAGUUUACCUAUGGUUUGCACUCAGUAGAAUGAAGCUGUGAAACGGUACAGUAGUAAAGUAAAUUUACGUUUAGCACAUUUAGCAAAUGCUUUUAUCCAAAAAAGGGUUAGGAGAAACGGUAAAUGGACUGCAUUUAAAUAGCGCGUUACUAACCAGUGGCCACCCCAAGCGCUUUACAAUAUUGCCUAAGAUUCACAGAUUCACACGCCGACUGCGGUGUCAGCCAUGUAAGGCGACAGCCAAAUCACCAGGAACAGUAAGGGCUAGGUGCCUUGCUCAGGGACACUUCGACACUCCAUGUGUCCAUCCGGUUACCAGCCAACCGGCAUGUGGCUCUACC